rnacentral:misc_RNA from 1 species
GAUGAAGAACGCAGCGAAAUGCGAUAAGUAGUGUGAAUUGCAGAAUUCAGUGAAUCAUCGAAUCUUUGAACGCACAUUGCGCCUCCUGGUAUUCCGGGGGGCAUGCCUGUCCGAGCGUCAUUACAACCCUCAAGCUCAGCUUGGUGUUGGGCCCCGCCGCCCCGGCGGGCCCUAAAGUCAGUGGCGGUGCCGUCCGGCUCCGAGCGUAGUAAUUCUUCUCGCUCUGGAGGUCCGGUCGUGUGCUCGCCAGCAACCCCCAAUUUUUUUCAGGUUGACCUCGGAUCAGGUAGGGAUACCCGCUGAACUUAAGCAUAUCAAUAAGCGGAGGA